rnacentral:rRNA from 1 species
GAUGAACGCUAGCGGCAGGCUUAACACAUGCAAGUCGAGGGGCAUAGUUCUUCGGAGCUAGAGACCGGCGCACGGGUGCGUAACGCGUAUGCAAUCUACCUUUUGCAGAGGGAUAGCCCAGAGAAAUUUGGAUUAAUACCUCAUGGUAUGUGAGAAUGGCAUCAUUUUCACAUUAAAGUCACAACGGCAAAAGAUGAGCAUGCGUCCCAUUAGCUAGUUGGUAAGGUAACGGCUUACCAAGGCAACGAUGGGUAGGGGUCCUGAGAGGGAGAGCCCCCACACUGGUACUGAGACACGGACCAGAGUCCUACGGGAGGCAGCAGUGAGGAAUAUUGGACAAUGGGCGCAAGCCUGAUCCAGCCAUGCCGCGUGCAGGAUGACGGUCCUAUGGAUUGUAAACUGCUUUUGUACAGGAAGAAACACUGGUUCGUGAACCAGCUUGACGGUACUGUAAGAAUAAGGAUCGGCUAACUCCGUGCCAGCCGCCGCCGUAAUAC